rnacentral:lncRNA from 1 species
GCAUUAUUCCAAAUAAAUAGAUUAUUAUCCAUAAAUAAAUGUAACGAGAUUCACAAAAAUAUAUCAAAUUCACAAAUAAAUGUAAAGAGUUUCACAAAAAAAUAUAAAACUCACAAAUAAAUAAAAUGAGAUUUGCAAAUAAAAAAAUAUAUAUUUACAAAUGUGUUUAAUGUCACAAACACAACUCUACCUGGCAUUUAUUUGUGAACCGCUGUCUGUGCAUUUGUAAAUUACUGCACGCAUUUGUGGAUCGCUUCCUGUGCAUUUGUGGAUUUGAAACACUUCUAGCGUCGACGUGCAGAUAAAUCCACAAAUAAGUGGACUCCACCCACCGUCUACUUAACCCAAUCAGACAACGCCCAUGUUGCACUGACCAAUCGCAGCACGCUCUCUCUCCAACCAAUCACGUUUUGCCUAACAACCAGGGCGGGAUCAGACACAUGAACGCGAGUCACUCGCUACAGUCUCUUCAACAUGGCCGAUCAAGAGGAGUAAAGACAGUUACUACAGACCAGCUACAAAAGCUUACAUCAUUUUGGACUGGAUGGGAAGUCCCAUCCAAGAAUCUCCAGGUAAAUGUUUGGAAUGGAAGAUACUUCAAGGCUUCUACCUGCAGCAGGACCCUGAUGAUACCAGCUGAAAUAACCACAAUGGAUAACUUUGCAUCUACAUUGCAAGCUUGUGCUAACACAUCCUCCACUGGAUUUGGACUCAUUUAAUUCUGGACACUGGUUCUAUGUAAUUUUUUUUUCUAUGUACAAGUAAUAAUAAUAAAUAAAGUACUUCAAUAACAUUUUAAAAUAAAUUUAAUUAUUUUACAUGUCUUAAAAGGUUGUUUCCACAAGUUUUACUUAAGAUACAACUAUAUAUACACAUUUACAACCUUGCUGUCAAAAUUAGAGCAGCAGAAAUAAACCUUCAAAUAUCCCUUUAUUCAAUCAAAGUCUGUACAUAUGUGAGAGUCUUGAGGUAUACAUCUACUCCAAAUGAAUCAGACACUUGCAGUGGGUCAAUUUGCUCAUUUGUGAGUUGUGGCCUGUGAAUUACAGGCACGUUGACUGCAAAGUGAACAUGGUCAGCAUCUCCACCAUCUUGUUCAACUGCCAUUGAGUCUGAAUAUUCCAUCUAAAGGUAAACAAAUAAAUCAUUUUAAAUAUGGGGGGUUAAUCUAACAGAGCAAAACCAAUAAAGCAUUGUAAGAAGAAAUAAUUACCUCAGGGUUAAUUAUUGGAUUCUCUCUCUGGCCAAACACAUUCUCUCAUCCGACGAACGAUAGUCGUAUGAGUGACACCUAAAAUGUUACUGAUGUUUUCCUGGGGUAAUCCAAGCUUCAGAAAGUGGAUUAGUCUGUCAUUUGCUGCCUCACUGUCCUAAAAUGCAUAAUAACAAACACAGAACAUUUUGAUCAAUGAAAUAAACCUUGUUCAUAAUGAAAUAUUAGUCUAAUUGGUAAAUACAGCACAGUACUUUAGAUUUUUUUAUUUUUAGCAGAUAGCCAAUAUUCCAACAAUAUUUUUAAAUGUAACAUGCUACAUGACUAAGUGGUCAUUUAAUUACCUUAAAAAAAAAAAAAUUUAAUAACACAGACGGACGGAUGGGUUCAGGAAACACCAGAGAGGUAGAAAACUGGGAAACACUAGUUAAAUUACAAAUAACGUUAUAGUUUUAUUUUGGAUGUUACUACAGUAAUGAGCAUUAUAUAUAAUAGUAAUUAGUGGAGCGGCUUGGCCCUGGUGUCAGAUCCCUGGCGAUGAUCUGCACUAAUGCCCGAGCAGCACUUUCACCUUGUGCAGAAAGGCCCUGAACAAACAGUAAGUAAACACAAACUGCAGCCAAAUAUUUAACUGAACAGACUGUAGUUUAAAGGUGCAUGGAGUAACCGUUCCAGUUAUAUACAAGGGAACAUAAUAAUGAGGAAAGCCAACUUUUCACUAGUGAUGGGAAGUCAGGUUCUUUUUUCGAAAACUGGUUCUUUUCGACAGUUAAUUUCAAUUAACAUGUCAUGCAUUACAGGUAACGUAACAACAGCUUAUGACCCUCAGUUCACACAUACUCGUAGUAUCUGAGACGAUGCCACUGCGGGGGGUGACAAGGGGGAAUAAAACCGAGUCUCAUGUAAUAUGCAGUGGAAGAUCUUACCCCAAACGUAUAUCUGUAUAAUUAGGGCAGUUGGCAACCUUACUACAGGCGCACAUCGAAUCUACCCGCAGCUUCACAUAUUCUUCAUCUUGCACUCAAUAUUAAGUAAUAGUUUAUUUAAUCUAAUAAACUAAUUCAGUAAUUCUAAAUGUAAAAUAAAUCCGCUGACUGUUUCGAUGGCUGCUUUCUCAAGGAGGUCGCAUUUUGUAGGCCACAAGUAAAGAAAUUCAAAAGUAAAGAAAUUACAAAAAUGUACACCUCACAAUGAAUAAUGGUCCAUUUUAGAAUUAAGACACCCUUGAUGUAUGUGGCAGACAAAUGCGACAGUCUUCGAAAUGGUGCUUGAGAGCAAAUAAUAACUUAUUAAAUCAUGGUGUAAAUUGUCAAACUACCUCACUAGUUAUGACAAAUGAUGACAUAUCAAGAACCUGGUAAAACUUCAGUUAAUUACUGUGUUAGCAUCACUCACCUGUCUUUACUCCUCUUGAUCGGCCAUGUUGAAGAGACUGUAGCGAGUGACUCGCGUUCAUGUGUCUGAUCCCGCCCUGGUUGUUAGGCAAAACGUGAUUGGUUGGAGAGAGAGCGUGCUGCGAUUGGUCAGUGCAACAUGGGCGUUGUCUGAUUGGGUUAAGUAGCAAUGGGUGGAGUCCACUUAUUUGUGGAUUUAUCUGCACGUCGACGCUAGAAGUGUUUCAAAUCCACAAAUGCACAGGAAGCGAUCCACAAAUGCGUGCAGUAAUUUACAAAUGCACAGACAGCGGUGCACAAAUAAAUGCCAGGUAGAGUUGUGUUUGUGACAUUAAACACAUUUGUAAAUAUAUAUUUUUUUAUUUGCAAAUCUCAUUUUAUUUAUUUGUGAGUUUUAUAUUUUUUUGCGAAACUCUUUACAUUUAUUUGUGAAUUUGAUAUAUUUUUGUGAAUCUCGUUACAUUUAUUUAUGGAUAAUAAUCUAUUUAUUUGGAAUAAUGCAACAAUUCUAACCCCAUAUCUAAGGGCUGAAGAUCACAGGCAUCCAGUAUGGUUUUCCAGCCUUGACCCUUACGCAGAGAUUGUUCCAGAUUCGCUGAAUCUUUGGAUGAUAUUGUGCACUGUAGAUGAUGAUAACUUCAAACUCUUUGCAAUUAUUUUCUGAGAAACUCCUUUCUGAUAUUGCUCCACUAUUUUUUGCCGCAGCAUUGGGGGAAUUGGUGAUCCUCUGCCCAUCUUGACUUCUGAGAGACACUGCCACUCUGAGAGGCUCUUUUUAUACCCAAUCAUGUUGCCAAUUGACCUAAUUAGUUGUAAACUGGUCCUCCAGUUGUUCCUUAUAUUUACAUGUAACUUUUCCGGCCUCUUAUUGCUACCUGUCACAACUUUUUUGGAAUGUGUAGCUCUCAUGAAAUCCAAAAUGAGCCAAUAUUUGGCAUGACAUUUCAAAAUGUCUCACUUUAAACAUUUGAUAUGUUAUCUAUAUUCUAUUGUGAAUAAAAUAUAAGUGUAUGAAACUUGUAAAUUAUUCCAUUCCUUUUUUUACUCAAAUUUUUUACAGUGUCCCAACUUUUUUGGAAUCGGGUUUGUAAUUGGUAACACUUUAUCAUAGGGACCAAUUCUCACUAACUAGUUGCUUAUUAGCAUGCCUAUUAUUAAUAUAUUGUCUGUUUAUUAAUAUGUAUAAAGAACAUAUUCUGUAUGAACAUAUUUAACAUCCAUAAUCCUACUCAAUACCUAAACUUAACA